UGCGGUGGCGGCAGCUAUACAUGCAGUCGAACGCAAAACUUUCAUCGAAUGCUUGCAUUCACCGAAAGUUUUGAGUGGCGAACGGGUGAGUAACACGUGGGUAACCUGCCCAGAAGAGGGGGAUAACACUUGGAAACAGGUGCUAAUACCGCAUAACAAUAAAAACCGCAUGGUUUUUAUUUAAAAGAUGGUUUUGCUAUCACUUCUGGAUGGACCCGCGGCGUAUUAGCUAGUUGGUAAGGUAAAGGCUUACCAAGGCAAUGAUACGUAGCCGAACUGAGAGGUUGAUCGGCCACAUUGGGACUGAGACACGGCCCAAACUCCUACGGGAGGCAGCAGUAGGGAAUCUUCCACAAUGGACGAAAGUCUGAUGGAGCAACGCCGCGUGAGUGAAGAAGGUUUUCGGAUCGUAAAACUCUGUUGUUAGAGAAGAACGUGUGUGAGAGUAACUGCUCAUGCAGUGACGGUAUCUAACCAGAAAGCCACGGCUAACUACGUGCCAGCAGCCGCGGUAAUACGUAGGUGGCAAGCGUUGUCCGGAUUUAUUGGGCGUAAAGGGAACGCAGGCGGUUUUUUAAGUCUGAUGUGAAAGCCUUCGGCUUAACCGAAGUCAUGCAUUGGAAACUGAAAGACUUGAGUGCAGAAGAGGAGAGUGGAACUCCAUGUGUAGCGGUGAAAUGCGUAGAUAUAUGGAAGAACACCAGUGGCGAAAGCGGCUCUCUGGUCUGUAACUGACGCUGAGGUUCGAAAGUGUGGGUAGCAAACAGGAUUAGAUACCCUGGUAGUCCACACCGUAAACGAUGAAUGCUAAGUGUUGGAGGGUUUCCGCCCUUCGGUGCUGCAGCUAACGCAUUAAGCAUUCCGCCUGGGGAGUACGACCGCAAGGUUGAAACUCAAAGGAAUUGACGGGGGCCCGCACAAGCGGUGGAGCAUGUGGUUUAAUUCGAAGCAACGCGAAGAACCCUUACCAGGUCUUGACAUCUUCUGACAACCCUAAGAGAUUAGUGUUCCCUUUCGGGACAGAAUGACAGGUGGUGCAUGAUGUCGUCAGCUCGUGUCGUGAGAUGUUGGGUUAAGUCCCGCACGAGCGCACUCUAUAUAGUUGCAGCAUAGUGGGCACUCUAGUGAGACUGGCGUGACAACGAGGAGUGGGAUGACGUCAAUCAUCAUGCCCCUAAUGAACCUUGGGGCUUAAACACACACGGUGUC
rnacentral:rRNA from 1 species